rnacentral:rRNA from 1 species
AUUGAACGCUGGCGGCAUGCUUUACACAUGCAAGUCGAACGGUAACAGGCCGCAAGGUGCUGACGAGUGGCGAACGGGUGAGUAAUGCAUCGGAACGUGCCCAGUCGUGGGGGAUAACUACUCGAAAGAGUAGCUAAUACCGCAUACGAUCUAUGGAUGAAAGCGGGGGACGGAAAGGCCUCGCGCGAUUGGAGCGGCCGAUGUCAGAUUAGGUAGUUGGUGGGGUAAAGGCUCACCAAGCCAACGACUUGUAGCUGGUCUGAGAGGACGACCAGCCACACUGGGACUGAGACACGGCCCAGACUCCUACGGGAGGCAGCAGUGGGGAAUGUUGGACAAUGGGCGCAAGCCUGAUCCAGCAAUGCCGCGUGCAGGAAGAAGGCCUUCGGGUUGUAAACUGCUUUUGUACGGAACGAAACGGCUCUGGUUAAUACCCGGGGCUAAUGACGGUACCGGAAGAAUAAGCACCGGCUAACUACGUG